rnacentral:rRNA from 1 species
GUGGGGAAUAUUGCGCAAUGGGGGAAACCCUGACGCAGCGACGCCGCGUGAGCGAAGAAGGCCUUAGGGUUGUAAAGCUCUGUUUUAAGGGACGAAUGUCGUGGGGAGUAAUAUGCUCUGCGAAUGACGGUACCUUAAGAGGAAGCCCCGGCUAACUACGUGCCAGCAGCCGCGGUAAGACGUAGGGGGCGAGCGUUGUCCGGAAUUACUGGGCGUAAAGAGCACGUAGGCGGGAACUUAAGUCAGGUGUGAAAGACCGGGGCUCAACUACGGGGUUGAACUUGAAGCUGGGUUUCUUGAGGGCAGGAGAGGAAAGCAGAAUUCCUGGUGUAGCGGUGAAAUGCGUAGAAAUCAGGAGGAAUACCAGUGGCGAAGGCGGCUUUCUGGACUGACCCUGACGCUGAGGUGCGAAAGCGUGGGUAGCAAACAGGAUUAGAUACCCGAGUAGUCC